ACGAACGCUUGCUGCAUGCUUUAUACAUGCAAGUCGAACGGAGGCCCUAGCUUGCUAGGUGUCCUUAGUGGCGCACGGGUGAGUAACACGUGGGAACAUACCUUAUAGUACGGAAUAACUGCGGGAAACUGUAGCUAAUACCGUAUACUCCAGUAAUGGGAAAGAUUUAUCGCUAUAAGAUUGGCCCGCGCAAGAUUAGCUUGUUGGUGAGGUAAAAGCUCACCAAGGCUUCGAUCUUUAGCUGGUUUGAGAGGACGAUCAGCCACACUGGGACUGAGACACGGCCCAGACUCCUACGGGAGGCAGCAGUAGGGAAUAUUGGACAAUGGGGGCAACCCUGAUCCAGCAAUGCAGCGUGAGUGACGAAGGCCUUAGGGUUGUAAAACUCUUUCAUCGGUGAGGAUAAUGACAGUAGCCGAAGAAGAAGGACCGGCUAAU
rnacentral:rRNA from 1 species